rnacentral:misc_RNA from 1 species
CCUCCGGCGAAAAUUCGCUCUCACUGCUUCCCUCCCCCUCCUCCCCCGAGUCUGCGCCACCGGACCACCAACUCAGCGACACACACUCCCCCACCCCUUGGUCCCCUCAACGCCCUUCUUUCCUUUGCCUUUUCGUGCGUCGGUGCCUCUCCCCCUCUCGUGUCCUCAUUGUUCCCACUAGAGGCGCAAGCGUUUUCUGUUUUCCUGCUUUCGCCGUCCAUUGAAGCCCGUCUGCGGCUUUUUCUGCCCGCUUAGACGCGGCGCAUUUCAGCUCCACGCACUCGCCGUCAGGGCAGCGCAUGGUCCGCCAAUGCCGCCUCCGCUUCGCAAGCCGUCACUUGGGCCGCAGGGCCAGCGCACAUUGCAACGCAGCAGCAGGCCGGCGCCCCCCUCCUCCCGGUCACGCUCGCCCUCAACGUCGUCCAAUAACUCUGACGAUGAUUUUGUGUACGUUCUCGGUCACGUCAAGAGCACCGAGGAGGCAGUUGAAUGCAUCCGUGCGGUGCAGCAGCCAAAGGAGAAGCACCAAGGACGGUUCUUGGGCGGCCUCGGGGGCUCUGCGAAGAGUCUUACAGAGCUCGUCACAACCUCGGAAAACAGAUACCCUGCAUCUCGAAAGAUGAAGGGAGAACUGCCGGCGACGAUGGAAGAGUUCUACGAGUCUCCGCGCUACACCGUCUCCCUCACUGCUGCCCGGGAAGCCCUCUUCUCUGACGCGCUCUCUGGCUUUCACUCCUACGUAGCACGUGAAGAGGAGCAGUGUGACCAGCUGUGCACCUACGCUACUCAAGGCGGCGCUGUUCGCACCAGCGCCAUCCCGUCCCCCUCGCCUGCCAUGACGCAGGAGUGGAACACGACACUUGCCGCCUCCUCAGCAUUGCCCGCCAAACCCGCAUCCAUGGCUGUGAAAGUGACAGGUGUAGUUGAAGAGGGCCACGCGCAGGUCGCGACUCCCGCUUCUGCUCUGCCACCAAACAAAAGACCCGAACGCACUGGCGCUCCAUCCACCGCGGCAGACCCAAGCAUUCCCUCGCCGUCCGCCGUGCCAGGUCCCGCUCACACGUCUCUACGGGCCAAGGCUGCUUUCCCGCCGGGUACCGUCGCAGCGGAGGCUGUCACCGCGGCAGUGGCAGAAGGAAUGGGAUCCGGCUCGCCGCGCGUUCCCGCCUCCUACAUGUUUCUUAUGCGCAGUCGUGACUCAGAGGCGAUGAGCCCGGGCUCUUCGCCGGCGCCUGCCGCGACGCCGCACAGCGUCGCCCUUGAGAGCCCGGAGUUUCCAUCUUCAAGGGACUCGCGUGCGAGCGGCAGGACAACAACAGCUUCCGGACAGGCUCCAGGCCCCACCACAAAUUUUCAUGUUGACGCCGCUGCCCCUGCUGCUGCGGUGGGUAAAGGGGCGAAACAGCUUCCCGCGCCUCUCACCCCGGCCCAAGAGACCGAGCGAGCGGCGAAACUUGAGGCGAUGUGGCCGUACGCGCUCCUGCAGAAGGCGAUCCACCAUCACGAAAGUGUGCCGGUUGUGUUUCGCUACCGCUACUCCCCAGAUUUCGAAGAGACGAUCGACGAGAACAAGAAGCGGCAGCAGCAGCUCGAUCGCGCGCUGCGCAAACAUCACUGGCUCGCCGGCUCCAGAGGUCUCACACACGCGGAACGGCAAGAAAUAUCGCGCCGCUUUGCGGACCCGAACGCGCUGGCCCACGAGUGGCUGUACGUUUGGGAGCAGUUUGAGCGUGACAUCCCCCGCGAGACCCUCUUGGUCGAAGACACACCCUACCACGACGCCAGCGAUGCCUUGGCGGCCAUCUUGAGCUACGUCGAGUACGGCUACGACAGAAGCCAGCAGCAUGUGAAGAAGAAGUUGGCCGCCGCAUUGGCAGAUGAAAAAAACGGCGAUGCUGCCACUACACCCGCGGCGACUGCGGCGGCAUCAUUAGGCGCUGGCAACUCCAGCUCCAGUCCGGCGUCGAGGAGAGAGACGACCUUGUUGGAGCAUUUUUUCUCCGCAAGCACGGCAGCCCUCAAGGGUGCGGUUGUCAAGAUGCGGGCGAGCCUGCCGGACUUUGUGGGGGAUCCUCUCCUCUCCGUCUCCGGCUACAACCCUGCGCUCUAUCACGCCUCCCUUCUCUUCCCCACCGAUCCCAAGGCGCGAAGUGAGAAGAUCUUCUCUGCAGUGCGAGAGGUGGUGCUGGCCUCCCAACAGUCCUUUAUGGGGUUCCCGUACCAGCUGUUGUGCGAGCAGGUGGGGACGGAGCGGCUGGGGCUGGCACUGGAAGCACUGGAGAGGGACCAGGCGGAGGUGGACGACCUGGAUGAGGAGGCGGAGGCAGAGAAGACAGCGCAGGUGACUCCGGUAGACGCAACGCACGAAGAAGGGAAGGUGACGGCUUCUGGCAGUGGUGCAUCGGCCUCUAUCCCAAUCGAAAAAACAGCAGAGGCGGAGCCCGCUGUGAAAGAGAUCACCACCUCAAUGCACUCAUCUCUGCACGGCUCACGUGUGCUGCGCAUCUACCAUAGUUUUCCCUCCCCGACAAGUGUGACGAACAGGAGUGGAAGCGACCAUCGCCACCGGCGGCACACCGUCCACGUUGUUGACGAGUGGAACGUGUCAUCCUCCUCAAGCCGCUCCUCAGACGCGGUCCCCUCUUCACUUUCGCUGAACAUCUCGCCGGCAACGACAGCACCACCGCCUCCGUCAGAGGCCUCGGAGGAGAAAGAGCAGCCGGUGCGGAAAGUAGGCAAGCAGUCAGCGGCAGUACUGGACGUCCUUCCGGCGCACUGCUUGUCAGAGGAGGCACGGCGACGCAAGGAGACCGUGGCGCGUCUCCGCCGAGAGCGGCGUCGUCGCAGGCGCAAACAGCUGCCUCUGUUGGUUGGCGAGCCGCGUUCGCACGAAUUCGCUGCCUUUCUGGACAUUGUGCGUAGCCGCGUCAUUGCCAAGCAGGUGAGGGAAGAGAGGAAAGAGAUGGAGCAGCGGCGACGUGAGCGGGUGCAGCAGGUUGUGAAGCGGCAGUGCGAGCAGUGGGGUAGUGCACCAGCGUCUCGGCAGGGAUCGCGCCCAAGCUCUCGUCCAGUUCCCUCUGCCUCCCUCGAUAUGAUGAAGCAAACGGAGGAAGAUCCUUUAGCGCCGACCGCGCAGCCCGCAGACACCGCCAUGGCACCCCGCAAGCUAUUUCACGAAGAUGUCGAGGGCUCCGCCUAUCUGAUUCCCACCCGUUCCGCCUCUGCCACAAUUGAGCCCCCUUCGCGCUCUCCUCGCUCGCUACUCUCCAGUACUUCGAUGCGAGAGGUAUCGGUGUCGCCCGAGAUGCGCGGGAUGCGCAUUCGCCUCUUCUUUGACGACAAGCGCAACGUGCCUGUCGUCGUGGUGAACAAGCUGUUCCGGCUGUUCACAAUGCCGGGGCUGCGCGGCUUCACAUCCUCCGACGACGACACCACAGAGGCGUUGAACGAAGAAACAGCAGCGAAGGCAGCCACGGCCCACCCAAGCGCUCCUGCGCGCAAGUCUGGUGCUGGACGCGCAGGCAGCUUGGAGAAGAGCGUGCUCCUCCUCAUUCAAGUUCAGUUUUCGCUCUUUUUGCAGGAAGAUGCGGAAGUCAGGUGGAAAUGGUGGAAGCUGUAGGGAAGGGGCGCGGCGGUGGGACCUGAGCCCCCGUUCUCCCUCACUCAUGCCUGGCUCGCAAAAGGGUUGUCGCCCAUGUGUCCUCGUCUCCACACACACCCAGCUCCUGAGGACCUUUUGUACGGGUAUGUGUGUUCAUGCACACAGCUAUCGACCUUGCAGAGGCGCUUGCUACCCCGGCCUGUCUUCUUCCCCCUCCCAGACCCCUCCGCCGCGUCAUUCGCAUCACGUUUAUGGAGGGAAAAUACCCUUUCGAAUUCUCCGGCACUGAAGUGUCAGCCGUGAGUCUUGGUGUGUUGGGGCGCGCGGAGCUUCGGAUGUGCCUUGUGUUUGCCGGUGUGCACCACGUCACCUGGAUGCGUACGCCUGUGCUUGACCUUUCGAUUCCCUCUCCUCCCACACCCCCUCUCGCCAAGGAAGGUGGCAUUUUUGUGGGCCACCGGAUGCGUUUUGUGCUCGUGCCUGCUUUGUUCUCAUUUCAACCACGUGGGGGAGUUUCCGUGGGCGCAG